rnacentral:rRNA from 1 species
AGUGAACGCUGGCGGUAGGCCUAACACAUGCAAGUCGAACGGCAGCACAGUAAGAGCUUGCUCUUACGGGUGGCGAGUGGCGGACGGGUGAGGAAUACAUCGGAAUCUACUUUUUCGUGGGGGAUAACGUAGGGAAACUUACGCUAAUACCGCAUACGACCUACGGGUGAAAGCAGGGGAUCUUCGGACCUUGCGCGAUUGAAUGAGCCGAUGUCGGAUUAGCUAGUUGGCGGGGUAAAGGCCCACCAAGGCGACGAUCCGUAGCUGGUCUGAGAGGAUGAUCAGCCACACUGGAACUGAGACACGGUCCAGACUCCUACGGGAGGCAGCAGUGGGGAAUAUUGGACAAUGGGCGUAAGCCUGAUCCAGCCAUACCGCGUGGGUGAAGAAGGCCUUCGGGUUGUAAAGCCCUUUUGUUGGGAAAGAAAAGCAGCAGGUUAAUACCUCGCUGUUCUGACGGUACCCAAAGAAUAAGCACCGGCUAACUUCGUG